AUUGAACGCUGGCGGCAGGCCUAACACAUGCAAGUCGAGCGGAUGAAGGGAGCUUGCUCCUGGAUUCAGCGGCGGACGGGUGAGUAAUGCCUAGGAAUCUGCCUGGUAGUGGGGGAUAACGUCUGGAAACGGGCGCUAAUACCGCAUACGUCCUGAGGGAGAAAGUGGGGGAUCUUCGGACCUCACGCUAUCAGAUGAGCCUAGGUCGGAUUAGCUAGUUGGUGGGGUAAAGGCCUACCAAGGCGACGAUUCGUAACUGGUCUGAGAGGAUGGUCAGGCACCAUAGAACCUAGACACCGACCCGGCUCCUGAGGGAGGGCACAGUUGGGUACGAUGGACAACGGGGGGAAAGCUUGCACAAGCCUGGCGGCUGGUGUGAAGAAGUUCUCCGUGUUGUAAGGCCCUUAAGGUGGGAGGAAGGGCAGUAAGUUAAUACCUUGCUGUUUUGACGUUACCAACAGAAUAAGCACCGGCUAACUUCGUG
rnacentral:rRNA from 1 species